UUUGCUCAAUCGGGCCGAUUGCAAAACAGAGAUGCCAGCACUCGAAUUCUAGCGGUUAAAAUUCGAUCCGUUUUCGGUUCGAUUUUCGCCUACCUGCUCGAUUGCUCGAAAACAGACGAUAUUUUUUGCAGUGCUGCGACGAACAAAACGAAACACGAGCAGUUUUCAAUCGCAGCGCAGCAAUCCGGUGGCGUGUUUCGUUUUGGCGCGUGAUUGUUGUGGAAUUUGUCGCAGUUAUUUUAGUUUGUAUAUUUCCACUGUUUCUAAAUUCAGAAAUGCUUUGAGCGCUUUAUAAGUAGAAGAAGCCAUUGUCCAGCGAUAAUUUGAUGAAAAGCAAGAAAAAAUCGACCCAUGCAAACAAAGCUUCCAAGGAAAUGUCCACACGGUACGGGCUCUAUGGAAUGUCAUCCAGGACAUCGUAUCCGGAUCCGGAUCCCGGACACGCCUAGAGGUGGCGGCUUCACUUGAUUACUUUUAAUCAGUUUUCGGUGUUAUAUUUCUAAGUGGAAAGUAUGUACCUGCUAACUGCAAUCGACAGGAGUCGUCGGUAGAGUCCCAUAGGUGCUUUUUUAAUGUUUUCCGAGAGCAGACGCUCAUCGAUGAACAUCAUUGGGCGAGGUGACCGAUACUACCGAAGGAAUCUUUGCCUGUUCGAUCGUCCCUACACAACUUUAGGCCCGAACGCUGAUGCAGUUAAGUUUUAACCCUUCCCUUUAAAUAACAUUCCACGCCGAGUAUGCCAAGUCCGGUGAGGAAAUCAUCAAGGCCAGAAGUAGAAGCGGAGGAUAAAGGAGAUAAAUUUAAGAAGCAGUGCCAGGAAACGGAAGAAGCCCUCUCUCAUUAUUCGAUUCCAAUAACUGAUUUCGUCGAACAUUUCCACGGCUACCACACAAGCCACCUACAGCGUUACCGUUCCUACACAAAACAUCAAACACAGCGUGGUAUUAGGAAAUAUUCCAACAACAACCCAACUAACAACGGAAUCAUUGUUGAAGAGAUGGUAGAGCGGCAUUACUAUAGAUGGCGCACACAAGUUUGCACCGGAAGGGCCCCGAUAGAUCGGAAAAGCAAGAAGUGUUUAGAUUUACAGAAGUUUCCUUCCGAACAACGACGAACGGAACAAUCUAAUCUGAUUUAUCGCGAUGCAGCAGAGUUCGAUCAAGAAUCAAGACUGAUGGAUUUAAAUCUGGACAGGAGUAAAAGAAUAGAUGAUAUCCUAACCGGAAGUCAAACAGCAGAGCAGUGAUUGCAGCCAUUAGGAACUCGGCCUCAAUGUCGAUAGGUAUCUGACACCAAAGGUGCGAAAAAACUGGAACAUACUAUCCGAAACCACAAAUUGUAUCACAACGAUAACAGGAAUCUCAAAGAUUUAUUCAUUUAAGAAAAUUGUUAGCAUUAACUUUAGAUUUCAGCAAAUAUUUAAUACCAUAAGUAUUUUUUUUUUAACUUAUUAUGGACAUCAGUUUAUAUUACAUGAAAGCUAUUCGAAAAAUGAUUUGGAUUCGCGCAAAGUAAGACUCGUCUCAUAUAUCAAAGGUAGUAGAAAAUGGUAAUUUAAGUGCCUGCCAGGGAAACUAUUCAUAAUUCUACGUAAAUUAAAAGAUAAGAUAAAUUUUCAAUAACUUAUGUUAGCGAUGAAUACUCAAUAGCCAUAGUCAUGGUUAUUUAGUUAUUUGGUUUGUGUUUAAGUUAGGUUUUUUUAUCAAACUGCGUUGGAGCUUUAUUUUGGAACAACACAAAAAAACAUAU